UUCCUCCGCUCUUUUCUUUCUUCCUCUCUUUCCUUCUUUUUUCCUCUCUCUCAUCCGGUGUUCUGAUUUGUUCGAUCAAAUCAUCAUUGGUUUGUCGUCGGUAUAGCUCGGAACGUCCGGAAUCAUCUGAUUUGGAAUGGUUCGGUGAACGUUGAUCCAAAUAAUAUCCCUAUCCAUACUUGUAUUUAUCAAAUAAAAUAAAUAUAGAAUAUAUCGGUAUCUGA
rnacentral:lncRNA from 1 species